rnacentral:rRNA from 1 species
GACGAACGCUGGCGGCGUGCCUAAUACAUGCAAGUCGAGCGAAGCGGCGGAUGGGUGAGUAACGCGUGGGUAACCUGCCCUUAAGUCUGGGAUACCAUUUGGAAACAGAUGCUAAUACCGGAUACUAAAGGAUGGACCUGCGCUGCAUUAGCUAGUUGGUAAGGUAAAGGCUUACCAAGGCGCUGAUGCAUAGUCGAGUUUGAAGGAUGGUUGGCCACAUUGGGAACGAGACACGGCCCAAAAUCCUACGGGUGGGCGGAGGUGGGGAUGUUCCACCAUUGGAGGAAGUUCGAUGGCGCCACGGCGCGGUAAGGAAGAAGGUUUUCCGAAUGGUAAGCCUCUUUGGUUGUGAAACGGUAAUCAACCAGAAAGUCACGGCUAACUACGUGCCAGCAGCCGCGGUAAUUC